AAGUCUCCUGUAGCUCAGUGGUAGAGCAUCCGACCGGUGUGCGGAAUGUCAUUGGUUCGACUCCUUUCAGUCUUU